rnacentral:rRNA from 1 species
AGGACGAACGCUGGCGGCGUGCUUAACACAUGCAAGUCGAGCGGAAAGGCCCUUUUGGGGGUACUCGAGCGGCGAACGGGUGAGUAACACGUGAGUAACCUGCCCUGGACUUUGGGAUAACCCUCGGAAACGGGGGCUAAUACCGGAUAUGACUUGGCCUCGCAUGGGGUUGGGUGGAAAGUUUUUCGGUCUGGGAUGGGCUCGCGGCCUAUCAGCUUGUUGGUGGGGUGAUGGCCUACCAAGGCGACGACGGGUAG